rnacentral:rRNA from 1 species
GAUGAACGCUGGCGGCGUGCCUAAUACAUGCAAGUCGAGCGAACAGACGAGGAGCUUGCUCCUCUGACGUUAGCGGCGGACGGGUGAGUAACACGUGGAUAACCUACCUAUAAGACUGGGAUAACUUCGGGAAACCGGAGCUAAUACCGGAUAAUAUAUUGAACCGCAUGGUUCAAUAGUGAAAGACGGAUUUGCUGUCACUUAUAGAUGGAUCCGCGCCGCAUUAGCUAGUUGGUAAGGUAACGGCUUACCAAGGCAACGAUGCGUAGCCGACCUGAGAGGGUGAUCGGCCACACUGGAACUGAGACACGGUCCAGACUCCUGCGGGAGGCAGCAGUAGGGAAUCUUCCGCAAUGGGCGAAAGCCUGACGGAGCAACGCCGCGUGAGUGAUGAAGGUCUUCGGAUCGUAAAACUCUGUUAUUAGGGAAGAACAAAUGUGUAAGUAACUAUGCACGUCUUGACGGUACCUAAUCAGAAAGCCACGGCUAACUACGUG